rnacentral:lncRNA from 1 species
ACAAAUUAAUACACAUAUAAUUAACCACAUAAUCUUUGUUCAAAGAACAUGACAGUGACAAGCCAACAAAAAAAAGGUGCUGUACUAAAUUGACUAAUCAAGUUAAACUAAACUUGGUUUAUAUGAGCAAACACGAGGAUAACAAUAUUUGUAUAGAGAACUAUUGACGUGCACUUCUAUCAAGGAUCCAUCCACUCGAACGAUGUAAGCUACGUUCCUAGUAUGAUCCUGAUAGGUAUAAGAGAGGAUACGUUCGUCAGAAGAAAAGGAUUUCAAAUGAGGAGGGAAAUGACGUGGAGGAAUGAGUGGAGAAGAUUCAAACGGAGGGAGUUGAUGACGUGGCAACGCGUUUUGGAGGAAAGAAAGACUGGGAGUGAAGUAGAGUCUUUGCCGUUAGAGUUGGAAGAAGAGGGGAAGACGUUUAAAUAAGAAUAGAGCUGCUGCAUUUCUCUUUAUGCUUUGUUUGUACUUUGUAGACAAUAUGAGUCUCAAGGCAAUCGCUAUGAGAUCGUAGAUGUAUGAUCGAUAUCGCUAUGAGAUAGAGAUCAUCAUCUGAACUUACAGAGUUUUCCAUUCUAUUCAAGGAGUUUUCAGUUUAUCACUUUCGAAUUACAAAAUUCUAUCAUUGGUGCGGUGAAACGGUUCGAUCUUCUCAAAUCGCGACGAUGUCCUCGAAAUCUAAUUCUUACGAAGUUGCAAUGGAGCCGACGAAGCAUAUCCAAGGUCAGGUGACGUUUUUGAUGGGAGCAUAUGAGAAGUUGUGCGAUGAUGCGAAGUUGAAGGACGAUCGCUUCGAUUCGUUGGAUACGAAGCUUUCCUCGAUGGAUUCGAAGCUCGAUUCAGUGCUUAAGGUGUUGGGUAAGCAACCGGUGCGGGAUCGUUCUCCGAUUCACACGCCGUUACGAGAUCCGGUGCUGUCCUCGACUCGCUCGCAGGUACGGAGCUCUCACUUCGAACGAGUUAGGGCACAUUCUCCACUAGGUUAUUGCGAUGAUCGUUUGAAUCUGGAUAAUCGUGAGAACAUGUUGAAGAAAAUUGAAAUGCCGUUUUGCGAUGGUUCGAGAGUGUCUGAGUGGAUGGUUGAUGUGGAGUAUUUUUACGAGUUGGGAAGAUAUGACGAAGAUGAGAGACUGGAGCUGGUUCCGUUAUGUUUGAGAGGGCUUUGAAGAAAUGGUUCGCGUGGGUGAUGCGUCGUGGGUGUUUUCGUAGCUGGAAGGAUUUUAAGCAGCGUCUGUUUGUGCGUUUUUCUGAAUCAAUUGAAGAUGAGCCUAACACUAGACUCUUUUCAAUUCGUCAGACUGGCUCAGUUGCUGAAUAUGUGUCAGAGUUUAAGGAUUUGUCUGCUCAGGUGACGGGGUUGGAUGAUCAUCACUUGGAGCGGAUAUUUUAUAUUGGAUUGAAUAGAGAGAUGAAGGAAGUGAUACGUAUGAAGGAACCACAGGGGUUGGCGAAUUACAUUGCGGCAGUGCUUAAGAUGGAGUCUAGUGCAUUUUGUCGAGUGGUGAGCGAUGCAUCGAAGGGUGGGGCGAGACAACUACAGACGGGAGUUAAUAAUAAUAUUCGUAAUGGAGGUUAUUAUAAUAAUACGCAGAAGCCAUUGGCAAUAGAAGCGAAGUCACAGAAGGAAAACAUUCCACCACCUAGGUCUUCUCAAAGGCCGAGGCAACGUCACUCUGAUGCAGAACUUGACUCGUUGAGGAGGCAAGGACUUUGUUUCAAGUGUGGAGAUAAGUGGUCAAAGGCACAUGAGGCAACUUGUCCAAAGAAGGAGUUUCGUGUGUUGACGGUGAUUAAUGGGUUUGAAGUGGAAUUGUUGAGUGGUGUGGAGGAAGAGGAAGUGUGUGACGAGGAGGUUGUUUCGGAGAUGAGAACUUUGUCUAUGAAUGCGUAUUUGGGCAUUGAUGCUCCAAAAACCAUGAAGUUACUAGGAUGUAUUGCUGGUGCUGGAGCGAUAGUGACGAUAGAUAGUGGGGAUUCUCACAAUUUUAUCUCUCCACAAGUGGUGCGGCAGUUGUGUUUGAAGGUUUGUGAAGAUAACAGUUUGAAUGUGUUACUUGGCAAUGGAGUGAUUGUCAAAGGGUUUGGUGUCUGUAAGGACUUGGCGUUUCAGUUGAAUGACUCGAGCUUCACGUCUGACUUUAUUUCGUUGGAGUUGGGGUCAGUGGAUGUUACUUUGGGUGUGCAGUGGUUAGAGACUUUGGGGAAGUGUGAAAUGGAUUGGAAGGAACAAGAGCUUUCGUUUAUUCAUAAUGGUACAAAGGUUACGGUGUGGGGAGAUCGUAGUUUACAUUUCCCUCGCUUAUCUCGAAAACCUUUACAGUCAAGUUAUGAUGUUCUUGAAGGAAGACAUGGAGUUUCUCUUAGUAACACUGAGCCCAUUUCACAGAGUUCGAAGGGUUUGUCAGCAUUGAAUGUGUUGUUGUGUUCUUGGGAGGCGGUGUUUGCGUUACCUCAGGGUUUACCCCCAUGUCGAGGUAAUGAACAUACCAUUCGGUUGCUUCCUGGUGCAGGACCGGUUUCGGUACGCCCUUACUGUUAUCCACAUGCAAUGAAGAUUAUCAUGGAAAAGAUGGUCUCAGAGAUGCUGGCGUCAGGAAUUAUCAGAGCUAGUACAAGUUCUUUCUCUAGUCAUGUCUUGUUGGUGAAGAAGAAGGACAAGAGUCACCGUUUCUUUGUCGACUACAGAGCGUUGAACAGAGUCACUAUAUCUGAUAAAUUUUCCAUUCCAGUUAUUGAUCAAUUGUUGGAUGAGCUGCAUGGCGCUAGGGUGUUUUCUAAGCUUGAUUUGCGUUCUGGUUAUCAUCAAAUCUGGAUGGCUGAAGAUGAUAUAGCCAAGACCGCUUUUUGAACGGUAGAAGGCCACUAUGAAUUUCUUGUUAUGCCGUUUGGCUUGACAAAUGCCCCUGCUACUUUUCAAGCUUUGAUGAAUAAACUCUUUCAACCCUUCCUGUGUGAGUUUGUGUUGGUGUUCUUUGACGAUGUUUUGGUGUAUAGUUCUUCUAUGGAACUUCACCUUCAGCAUUUGGAGGUAGUGUUGCGCGUUUUUCAUGAUAAUCACCUGUUCGCUAAUAGGAAGAAGUGCGUCUUUGGUAUGGAUCAGGUGGAGUACCUUUGCCAUAUUAUUUUGGGGAAUGGCGUUGCAACAGAUAGUGUGAAGACGGAAGCAAUGCAUCAGUGGCCAAAUCCAAGAACAGUGAAGCAACUAAGAGGGUUCUUGGGUUUAACCGGGUAUUAUAGGAAGUUUGUUAAGGACUAUGGACUGAUUGCUCGGCCAUUGACUUCACUCCUGAAGAAGGAUCAGUUUGCUUGGACACAGGAUGCUCAACGAGUGUUUGAUGAAUUAAAAGGAGCUAUGUGUUCUACUCCAGUGUUGGCCUUACCGGAUUUUGACAAGCAGUUUGUGGUGGUAUCUGAUGCGUCUGGAGUAGGUUUGGGGGCUGUGUUGAUGCAAGAUAAGAGGCCUAUAGCACUCUUCAGUCACGCUCCUACACCUCGUGAGCAGCUGAAGCCGGCCUAUGAACGAGAAUUAAUGGCGGUGGUGAUAACAAUCAAGAAAUGGAAGCAUUAUUUGCUAGGGAGGAAUUUCAUUGUACAUACUAACCAACGGAGUUUGAAAUUCCUAUUGGAGCAGAAGGAGGUGAAUAUGGAAUAUCAGCGGUGGUUGGUACAAUUGUUGGGUUUUGAGUUUGAGAUUUUAUACAAACCGGGGUGUGAAAACAAGGCGGCUGAUGGGUUGUCUAGAAGUAUGUGUGAGAUGGAUCUUUCUUUGAAUACAAUGUUGUUGGCUUUGACGUCUCCUUCGGUUUUACAGAUUCAAGACAUUUACCGUGAGAUUGAGGCUGAUCAGUCGAUUCAGUCAUUGCUUGAGAAAGUGAAGGAUAAGAUGGUGAUAUCUACGCAUUAUCAAGUCAUUGAGGGGCGUUUAUGGUACAAGAGACGGUUAAUGAUUCCUAAGACGUCGAGGUUUCUUGGUGUUUUGUUACAUGAUGCGCAUGACAGUGUUGCAGGGGGACACUCUGGUGUCUUUAAGACGUUGAAACAAAUUCAACAUUCUUUUUACUGGGAAGGCAUGUCUCGGGAUGUUCAACAGUAUGUAGCUGCGUGUGUCAUCUGUCAAACCCACAAAACAUCAACCUUAUCUCCCGCAGGUCUGCUUCAACCACUUCAGUUGCCAACUCGCGUGUGGGAGGAUUUGGCGAUGGAUUUCAUUGAAGCUUUACCAACUUCGCAGGGGUUCAAUGUCAUAUUGGUGGUGGUGGACAGGUUGAGCAAGUAUGCUCAUUUCUUGAGUUUGAGACACCCUUUUUCUAUAGUGGAUGUCGUUAAUUGAUUCAUUGAAGGUGUGGUGCGUUUGCACGGUUAUCCUGCUAGUAUUGUUUCGGAUCGAGACCGUAUCUUUCUGAGCUCUUUUUGGAAGGAAGUGUUUCGUCUAGCUGGUACUCAACUCAAGUACAGUACAACUUUUCAUCCUCAGACUGAUGGUCAAUCCGAGGUGAUUAAUAGGUGUUUGGAGACUUACCUUCGCUGCUUUGCAUCGUCUCAUCCUCGAACUUGGCACAAGUUCCUUCCGUGGGCUGAGUUUUGGUAUAACACCUCAUUUCACACCGCGUUAAAGACCACUCCUUUUCAGGUGGUGUAUGGCCACGAGCCGCUUGCAGUGGUGAGAUUUGAGAAAGGUCCGACUGCUAAUUACGAUAUGGAGGAAGCAUUACGUGAGCGUGAUCGAGUGUUGGCUGUGGUGAAACAAAACUUGGCUCGUGCUCAGGAGAUUAUGAAGAAGAAUGCAGACAAGCAUCGUCGAGAUGUUAAGUUUACAGUGGGUGCGUGGGUGUACUUAAAGCUUCGCCCUUACCGACAACAGUCUGUGGCAAAGCGCGUCUGUCCAAAACUUGCUGCGAAGUAUUUUGGGCCAUAUCAGAUCUUAGCUCGAGUUGGACCAGCUGCUUAUAAGCUAGAGUUGCCUGCGCAUAGUCGUAUUCAUCCAGUGUUCCAUUGCUCGCAGUUGAAAGCUGCUAUUGGAGUUGAUAAGGUGGUGUGUCCUUUACCAUUGGAAGGUAUUGAAGAAUUGGAAGUGGCGCCAGAGCCAUUGGAGGUGUUGGCUACUCGUUAUGAUGCGCAGGGUCACUUGGAAUUAUUGGUUCAGUGGGUGGGUCGCCCUACUCACGAGAACUCUUGGAUGUUGUUGCAGGUGUUUGAGGAGUUGUAUCCUUUCUUCAAGCUUGAGGACAAGCUUGGUUUCAAAGGGAGGAGUAUUGAUAGGUAUAAGAGAGGAUACGUUCGUCAGAAGAA